CGACCCCAAGUCAGGCAGGGCUACCCACUGAGUUUAAGCAUAUCAAUAAGUGGAGGACAAGAAACUUACAAGGAUUCCCUUAGUAAUGGCGAGCUAAUUGGGAAGAGCCCAGCUUGAGAAUCGGGCGGCUUUAUCAUUCGAGUUGUAGUCUAUAGAAGCAUCCUCAGUGGUGGAUCGGGCCCAAGUGCAUUGGAAGGGGGAACCAGAGAGGAUAAGUGCCCCAUCAUGUUCGAACCCUAUCGCACCACAAGGCGCUGUCGGCGAGUCAGGUUGUUUGGGAAUACAACCCCAACUGGGUAGUAAAUUCUGUCCAAGGCUAAAUAUGGGCGAGAGACCGAUAGCGAACUAGUACCGCCAGGGAAAGAUGGAAAGGACGUUGAAAAGAGAGUCAAAGAGUGCUUGAAAUUGUCACGAGGGAAGCGCAUGGGGGCCGGUGAUGCGUCUCGAUUGGAUACGAAAUGGUUAAUAGCCGAUUUGUCGCUUGACUCAGGGCAUGGACCAAUGUGGAUUGCGGUGGCAUCCCACGCCCGGGUUGUCACGUUAUGCCUGAGGAGAUGUCAUCGCCAUGAUUGUGGUAGGCUGCGUGUACCUCGAUGGCGUGCCUGUUGGCAACUGCAUGCUCCGGGCAUCGGCCUAUCGGGCUCCCCAUUCGACCCAUCUUGAAACACGAACCAAGGAGUCUGACAUGUGUGCAAGUCCACGGGCAAGUAAAACCCAUAAGGUGUAAGGAAGCUGACUAGUGGGAUCCCCUUGUGGGUUGCACUGCUGACCGACCUUGAUCUUUUGUGAAGGGUUCGAGUGAGAGCAUACCUGUCGGGACCCAAAAGAUGGUGAACUAUACCUGAGUGAGGCGAAGCCAGAGGAAACUCUAGUGGAGGUCCAUAGUGAUAUUGAUGUGCAAAUCGUUCGUCUGACUUGGUUAUAGGGACGAAAGACUAAUCGAACCAUCUAGUAGUUGGUUCCCUCCGAAGUUUCACUUGGGAUAGUUGGAGCCUGCAGGCGAGUUCUAUCGGGUAAAGCCAAUGAUUAGAGGCAUCAGGGGCGCAACGCCCUCAACCUGUUCUCAAACUUUAAAUAGGUAGGACGGCGUGGUUGCUUCGUUGAGCCGUGCCAUGGAAUCGAGAGCUCCAAGUGGGCCAUUUUUGGUAAGCAAAACUGACGAUGCGGGAUAAAUCAAAAGUUGGGUUACGAUACUGGAUUGCAUGUAAACCUAGAACCCACAAAGGGUGUUGGUCGAUUAAGACAGCAGGAUAGUGGUCAUGGAAGUCAAAAUCUGCUAAGGAGUUUGUAACAACUCACUUGCAGAAUCAACUAGCCCCAAAAAUGGAUGACGUUGAAGCGCGAAAGCUAUACCCGACUGUCGGGGUAACUGCUAGGCCCCGAUGAGUAGGAUGGCACGGUGUUCACCGUAAAACCUAGGUCGUGAGCCCGAGCGGAGCAUCCGUUAGUGCAGAUCUUGGUGGUAGUAGCAAAUAUUCAAAUGAGAACUUUGAAGGCCAAAGAGGGGAAAGGUUCCAUGUGAACGACACUUGCACAUGGGUUAGUCGAUCUUAAGGGACGGGGGAAGCCUGUCAGAGAGCGUGUACGCAAGCAUACUCCUAAUGGGAAUCGGGUUAAAAUUCCUAAACUAAGACGUGGCGGUUGACAGCAAUGUUAGGAAGUCCUGAGACGUCGGUGGGGGCCUUGGGAAGAGUUAUCUUUUCUGUUUAACAGCCCGCCCACCCUAGAAAUGGCUCAGUCAGAGGUAGGGUCGAGUGGUUGGAAGAGCACCGCACAUUGUGUGGUGUCCGGUGCACCCCUGACGGCCCUUGAAAAUUCGGAGGACCGAGUGUCGACCACGCCCGGUCAUACUCAUAACCGCAUCAGGUCUCCAAGGUGAACAACCUCUGGUCGAUGGAACAAUAUAGGCAAGGGAAGUCGGUAAAAUGGAUCUAUAACCUCAAGAAAAGGAUUGGCUCUGAGGGCUAGGCAUAGGGGUCCCAGUCCCGAGCUUGUCGAUUGUCGGUGGGCUGCUCGAGUUGCUUUCACGAUGAGAGCGGGUCGUUGUGUGCCAGUUGGGGGACUAAUUGGGAACGGCCCCCUCAGGGGCCUUCCCCGGGUGUCGAAUAGUCGACUCAGAACUAGUAUGAAAAAGGGGAAUCCGACUAUUUAAUUAAAACAAAGCAUUACGAUGGUCCCUGCGAAGCUCAUGCAAUGUGAUUUCUGCCUAAUGUUCUGAAUGUCAAAGUGAAGAAUUCAACCAAGUGCGAGUAAAAGGCAGGGGUAACUAUGAAUCUCUUAAGGUAGCCAAAUGCCUCGUCAUCUAAUUAGUGAUUCACAUGAAUGGAUUAACGAGAUUCCCACUGUCCCUGUCUACUAUCCAGCGAAACCACAGCCAAGGGAACUGGCUUGGAAAAAUCAGUGGGAAAAGAAGAUCGUGUUGAGCUUGACUCUAGUCUGACUUUGUGAAAUGACUUGAGAGGUGUAGGAUAAGUGGGAGCUGGAAACGGCGCAAGUGAAAUACGACCACUUUUAACAUUAUUUUACUUACUCCGUGCGUCGGAGGUGGGGUUUUGCCCCUCCUUUUGGACCCAAGGCCCGCCUCGACGGGGGGAUCUGGGCAAAGGACAUUGUUAGGUGGGGAGUUUGGCUGGGGUGGCACAUCUAUUAAAAAAUAACACAGGUGUCCUAAUAUGAGCUCAAUGAGAACAGAAAUCUCGUGUGGAACAAAAGGGUAAAAGCUCGUUUGAUUCUGAUUUCCAGUACGAAUAUGAACUAUGAAAGCUUGGCCUAUCGAUCCUUUAGACCUUUGGAAUUUGAAGCUAGAGGUGUCAAAAAGGUUACCACAGGGAUAACUAGCUUGUGGCAGCCAAGCGUUUAUAGUGACAUUGCUUUUUUAUCCUUCGAUGUUGGCUCUUCCUAUCAUUACGAAGCAGAAUUCGUCAAGUGUUGGAUUGUUCACCCACCAAUAGGGAACGUGAGCUAGGUUUAGACCAUCGUGAGACAGGUUAAUUUUACCCUACUGAUGAUAGUGUCAUGAUAGUAAUUCAUCCUAGUAUAAGAGGAACUAUUGAUUCACACAAUUGGUCAUCACGCUUGGUUGAAAAGUAAGUGGCGCGAAGCUGCCAUGUGCCGGAUUAUGACUGAAUGCCUCUAAGUCAGAAUCCAGGCUAAAGAAGUGAUGCUUGUGCCCAUCGCCAAUUUACCGACCCGCAGUAAGGGGCAAGCCCCCAUAGUGGACAUGUUGUGUGGGCUGCCUUGAAGCAUAAUUCCUGUCGGACGAUGGGUAGAAUCCUUUGUAAAUGACUUAAAUGCGACGGGGUAUUGUAAGUGGUAGAGUGGCCUUGCUGCCAAGAUCCACUGAGAUUCAGCCCCAUGUCGCAUCAAUUCAU